CUUUAUUCGCAUUCAUUCCAAGCAAUAAUAUUUCAUUUUUAAAUAUUUUUUUUUCCCCCUUGUUUCCAGGUCUAUUUGACGAUGGCUGAAAAGGUCCUAGUAACGGGUGGUGCAGGGUACAUUGGGAGUCACUGUGUCCUGGAAAUGCUGGAGGCUGGAUACUAUCCAAUAGUAAUCGAUAACUUUCACAAUGCAGUCAGGGGUGAGUGUG